GUGCUCGCUUCGACAGCACAUAUAUUAAAAUUGGAAAGACACAGAAAAGAUUAGCAUGGCCCCUGCACAAGGAUGACACACAAAUUCAUGAAGCAUUCCAUAUUUUU
rnacentral:snRNA from 1 species